rnacentral:rRNA from 1 species
UACGUAGGGACCGAGCGUUGUCCGGAAUCAUUGGGCGUAAAGAGCGUGUAGGCGGCUAUUUAAGUCCUGCGUGAAAUCUUGCGGCUCAACCGCAAGCGGUCGUGGGAAACUGGGUGGCUAGAGUGCGGGAGAGGAGAGUGGAAUUCCUGGUGUAGCGGUGGAAUGCGCAGAUAUCAGGAAGAACACCCGUGGCGAAGGCGGCUCUCUGGAACGCAACUGACGCUGAGACGCGAAAGCAUGGGGAGCGAACAGG